GUCUAUACAUGCAGUCGAGCGAACUGAUUAGAAGCUUGCUUCUAUGACGUUAGCGGCGGACGGGUGAGUAACACGUGGGCAACCUGCCUGUAAGACUGGGAUAACUUCGGGAAACCGAAGCUAAUACCGGAUAGGAUCUUCUCCUUCAUGGGAGAUGAUUGAAAGAUGGUUUCGGCUAUCACUUACAGAUGGGCCCGCGGUGCAUUAGCUAGUUGGUGAGGUAACGGCUCACCAAGGCAACGAUGCAUAGCCGACCUGAGAGGGUGAUCGGCCACACUGGGACUGAGACACGGCCCAGACUCCUACGGGAGGCAGCAGUAGGGAAUCUUCCGCAAUGGACGAAAGUCUGACGGAGCAACGCCGCGUGAGUGAUGAAGGCUUUCGGGUCGUAAAACUCUGUUGUUAGGGAAGAACAAGUACGAGAGUAACUGCUCGUACCUUGACGGUACCUAACCAGAAAGCCACGGCUAACUACGUGCCAGCAGCCGCGGUAAUACGUAGGUGGCAAGCGUUAUCCGGAAUUAUUGGGCGUAAAGCGCGCGCAGGCGGUUUCUUAAGUCUGAUGUGAAAGCCCACGGCUCAACCGUGGAGGGUCAUUGGAAACUGGGGAACUUGAGUGCAGAAGAGAAAAGCGGAAUUCCACGUGUAGCGGUGAAAUGC
rnacentral:rRNA from 1 species